rnacentral:rRNA from 1 species
GUGAGGAAUAUUGGACAAUGGGCGCAAGCCUGAUCCAGCCAUGCCGCGUGCAGGAAGACGCAUCUAUGGUGUGUAAACUGCUUUUGUACGGGAAGAAACACUCCCUCGUGAGGGAGCUUGACGGUACCGUAAGAAUAAGGAUCGGCUAACUCCGUGCCAGCAGCCGCGGUAAUACGGAGGAUCCAAGCGUUAUCCGGAAUCAUUGGGUUUAAAGGGUCCGUAGGCGGGUUAAUAAGUCAGUGGUGAAAGCCCAUCGCUCAACGAUGGAACGGCCAUUGAUACUGUUAGACUUGAAUUACAAGGAAGUAACUAGAAUAUGUAGUGUAGCGGUGAAAUGCUUAGAUAUUACAUGGAAUACCAAUUGCGAAGGCAGGUUACUACUUGUGGAUUGACGCUGAUGGACGAAAGCGUGGGGAGCGAACAGGAUUAGAUACCCCUGUAGUCC